AACGAACGCUGGCGGCAUGCCUAACACAUGCAAGUCGAACGAGCCCUUCGGGUCUAGUGGCGCACGGGUGCGUAACGCGUGGGAACCUGCCCUUAGGUUCGGAAUAACUCCCCGACAGGGGUGCUAAUACCGGAUAAUGUCUUCGGACCAAAGAUUUAUCGCCUUUGGAUGGGCCCGCGUUGGAUUAGCUCGUUGGUAGGGUAAAAGCCUACCAAGGCGACGAUCCAUAGCUGGUCUGAGAGGAUGAUCAGCCACACUGGGACUGAGACACGGCCCAGACUCCUACGGGAGGCAGCAGUGGGGAAUAUUGGACAAUGGGCGAAAGCAUGAUCCAGCAAUGCCGCGUGAGUGAUGAAGGCCUUAGGGUUGUAAAGCUCUUUUACCCGGGAUGAUAAUGACAGUACCGGGAGAAUAAGCUCCGGCUAACUACGUG
rnacentral:rRNA from 1 species